AAAGUAAACAGAACUGUGGGGACACGUGUGGAGAGCACAAGCCGGAAAUGGAAAAGCCGGUGCAAGCGAGGUAGGAGAUGAACAGGCAAAUCCGUUCAUCAAUCCGAAGACGUGAUGCGGACCGAAUUAAGAGUAGGGAAGUGUGUGAGCCAUGCGUCAAGAAAAGCCGCUAUUGUUUUACUUAAGCCCGUACCGUAAACCGACACAGGUGGAUGAGGAGAGAAUCCUAAGGCCGACGGGAGAAGCAUUGUUAAGGAACUCGGCAAAAUGACUCCGUAACUUCGGGAGAAGGAGUGCCAGCGAGAGCUGGCCGCAGAGAAUUGGCCCAAGCAACUGUUUAGCAAAAACACAGGUCUAUGCAAAACCGUAAGGUGAAGUAUAUGGGCUGACGCCUGCCCGGUGCUGGAAGGUUAAGAGGAGAGGUUAGCGGCAACGCGAAGCUUUGAAUUUAAGCCCCAGUAAACGGCGGCCGUAACAAUAACGGUCCUAAGGUAGCGAAAUUCCUUGUCGGGUAAGUUCCGACCCGCACGAAAGGCGUAAUGAUUUGGGCACUGUCUCAACAAUGCACCCGGUGAAAUUGAAAUACCAGUGAAGAUGCUGGUUACCUGCGCCAGGACGGAAAGACCCCAUGGAGCUUUACUCCAGCUUGAUACUGGGAUUCGGUAUUGCAUGUACAGGAUAGGUGGGAGGCUAGGAAGUGAUAACGCCAGUUGUCACGGAGCCGCUGUUGGGAUACCACCCUUGCAGUAUUGGAUUUCUAACCAGCGACCAUGAACUGGUCGGGGGACAAUGUCAGGUGGGGAGUUUGACUGGGGCGGUCGCCUCCGAAAGGGUAUCGGAGGCGCUCAAAGGUUCCCCCAGAAUGGACGGAAACCAUUCGAAGAGUGCAAAGGCAGAAGGGAGCUUGACUGCGACACCGACGGGUGGAGCAGGUACGAAAGUAGGACUUAGUGAUCCGGUGGUAUAAAGUGGGAUUGCCAUCGCUCAACGGAUAAAAGCUACCCUGGGAUAACAGGCUUAUCACUCCCAAGAGUUCACAUCGACGGAGUGGUUUGGCACCUCGAUGUCGGCUCAUCGCAUCCUGGGGCUGAAGUAGGUCCCAAGGGUUGGGCUGUUCGCCCAUUAAAGCGGUACGCGAGCUGGGUUCAGAACGUCGUGAGACAGUUCGGUCCCUAUCCGGCGUGGGCGUAGGAUAUUUGAGAGGAGCUGUCCUUAGUACGAGAGGACCGGGAUGGACUGGCCGCUGGUGUAUCUGUUGCAUACCGAAUGCAUGGCAGAGUAGCCAAGCCGGGACGGGAUAAACGCUGAAGGCAUCUAAGCGUGAAGCCCCCCUCAAGAUGAGAUAUCCCUACGUAAGUAGUAAGACCCCUUGAAGACGACGAGGUAGAUAGGUCAGAGGUGAAGUACAGUAAUGUAUGGAGCUGACUGAUACUAAUCGGUCGAGGGCAUGAGC
rnacentral:rRNA from 1 species